rnacentral:rRNA from 1 species
GAUGAACGCUGGCGGCGUGCUUAACACAUGCAAGUCGAACGAAAAGGGAAUACUGAAACCUUCUGGCGGAAUGCUGUAUUGCUAGGUGCGGACGGGGUAGUAAGCCGUGGGUAACCGGCUUCAUACAGGGGAAUAAGAGUUGUAAACGACUGGUACUACCGCAUAAUACUACAGGACCGCAUGGUGCGGGGGUAAAAAGUCCGGUGGUAUGAGAUGGACCCGCGGUAGAGUAGCCAGUUGGCAGGGUAACGGCCAACCAAAGCGACGAUCGAUAGCCGAUAUGAGAGGCUGCCAGGCCACAUUGGGACUGCGGCACGGCCCAAACUCCUACGCGAGGCAGCAGUGGGGUAUAAUGCACGAUGAGGGAUAACGUGAUGCCGCGACGUCGCGUGAGUGAAGAAGUAUUUCGGUAUGUAAAGCUCUAUGAGCAGGGAAGAAAAUGACGGUACUUGAGUAAGAAGCCCCGGCUAACUACGUG